CGAAGGGGGCUAGCGUUGUUCGGAAUUACUGGGCGUAAAGCGUAUGUAGGCGGAUCGUUAAGUCGGGGGUGAAAUCCCGAGGCUCAACCUCGGAACUGCCUUCGAUACUGGCGAUCUUCGAGUCCGGGAGAGGUGAGUGGAACUCCGAGUGUAGAGGUGAAAUUCGUAGAUAUUCGGAAGAACACCAGUGGCGAAGGCGGCUCACUGGCCCGGUACUGACGCUGAAAUACGAAAGCGUGGGGAGCAAACAGGAUUAGAUACCCUGGUAGUCCACGCCGUAAACGAUGGGUGCUAGCCGUUGGGCAGCAUGCUGUUCGGUGGCGCAGCUAACGCAUUAAGCACCCCGCCUGGGGAGUACGAUCGCAAGAUUA
rnacentral:rRNA from 1 species